rnacentral:misc_RNA from 1 species
GAGGGAGCUUGCUCCCGCUGGGUCGCGAAGCGGCCCUGUUUUUGGUGCUGCUACGCAGCCCAGCGGGAGCAAGCUCCCUC